CCCUUAGAUGUUCGGGGCCGCACGCGCGCUACACUGAAGGAAUCAGCACGUCUUUCUCCUUGUCCGAAAGGACUGGGUAACCCGCUGAACCUCCCUCGUGCUAGGGAUUGGGGCUUGUAAUUCUUCCCCAUGAACGAGGAAUUCCCAGUAAGCGCGAGUCAUAAGCUCGCGUUGAUUACGUCCCUGCCCUUUGUACACACCGCCCGUCGCUACUACCGAUUGGAUGGUUUAGUGAGAUCCUCGGAUUGGUCCCGGCGCGGCCUCUGGUCGUGCCGGAGUGCCGAAAAGAAUGUCGAACUUGAUCAUCUAGAGGAAGUAAAAGUCGUAACA
rnacentral:rRNA from 1 species